rnacentral:tRNA from 1 species
CGGAACUUAGCUCAGUGGUAGAGCAACUGGCUUAUAUCCAGUGUGUCGGAGGUUCGAUUCCUCCAGUUCCGA